rnacentral:tRNA from 1 species
CAAAAUGUAGCUUAACUAAACCCCCUUGCUUACACCAAGACCAUGCCCGUUGAAUUCGGGUCAUUUUGAG